rnacentral:rRNA from 1 species
AUUGAACGCUGGCGGCAUGCUUUACACAUGCAAGUCGAGCGGCAGCGCGGGGGCAACCCUGGCGGCGAGCGGCGAACGGGUGAGGAAUGCAUCGGAACGUGCCCGGGAGUGGGGGAUAACGCCGCGAAAGCGGCGCUAAUACCGCAUAUUCUCUGUGGAGGAAAGUGGGGGACCGCAAGGCCUCACGCUUUCGGAGCGGCCGAUGUCGGAUUAGCUUGUUGGUGGGUAAAGGCUUACCAAGGCGACGAUCCGUAGCUGGUCUGAGAGGAUGAUCAGCCACACUGGGACUGAGACACGGCCCAGACUCCUACGGAGGCAGCAGUGGGGAAUUUUGGACAAUGGGGGCAACCCUGAUCCAGCCAUGCCGCGUGCAGGAAGAAGGCCCUAAUGGGUCGUAAACUGCUUUUGAACGAGAGAAAACCCGAGUACGUGUACUCGGCUGAUAGUAUCGUUAGAAUAAGCAUCGGCUAAACUUCGUGCCAGCAGCCGCGGUAAU